rnacentral:rRNA from 1 species
UACGGGGGGUGCGAGCGUUGUCCGGAUUCACUGGGCGUAAAGGGCGCGUAGGCGGCCUGCCAAGUCUGAUGUGAAAUCCCUGGGCUUAACCCGGGAAUGGCACCAGGGACUGGUAGGCUUGAGGACGGGAGAGGAUGGUGGAAUUCCCAGUGUAGAGGUGAAAUUCGUAGAUAUUGGGAAGAACACCGGUGGUGAAGGCGGCCAUCUGGUCCGUUUCUGACGCUGAGGCGCGAAAGCGUGGGGAGCAAACAGG